GUGAAAGUGAAAGUGAAAAGUGUAGUGAAGUGGUUGCAGUAUAGUGGGGCAGUGUUUUAAAAGAAAAAGGCCCAAAAAUGGCAAAGUUCCUUAUCCAGAGCGGCGGCAGCAGACGGCAAAAUGGCAUACAAAUGGCAGAGCGGCAGAGGCAAAAUAAAGAAAUAAGUGAAAGUGAAGUGUUCAAAGUGCAACAUAAAAACUUUUUUUUCAUGCAUACAUCUUUUUUUUCGUUUGGUCACGUGAUCUCUGGCAAUGUUUGUACGUGUGCUUGUGUGUGCAGAAAAUGCAAAAGAGACGCAGAGUUGCGGUCCCUUUCCAACCCCAAUACCCAAGUGAAAUGUGCUUGGAGUUAUUGCAAUUCCCUUGGUUUUGCUUGUGCGUUUUCGUAUUCGUUUCGUAAAUCGUUCGUUAAAACCCCGUUUCGUUUCCGUUUUAAACGCAAACUCGUCGGCGCAAUAACAAUAAAACGUAAUGGCGAGAUUUGAUGAACCAAAAGCAACCUUUUGGCAGAUGUUCUUCAUGGCACAUGGAAACAUAAAGCAAACCUCUCCACACACUCUCCCAAGCGUAUUUAACAUUCGUUCAUUGGGUAGAUACAGCUCAUUAAACCUGAAAAAUGAUUCGAGCAGAGCUUACCAUGGGCAGUGUGACGCCGGGAAAGAGAUCCAUGUAGAUGCCAAUGAAGAGGGAAAUGUCCUGCUCGAGGAAUUUCGGCAAAUUGACAUCAACAAUGGCACGCAAAACAAUCUCCGGCUCCGGCAGGUCCACGUAGAGGCGUCGCAGCGAUGCGGAGGCCAGCAGCACGGACUUGACGGCGCGCAUACCUGUCGAUAGAUGGACAUGAACAUGGAGGGGAGAGGUAUUUGAUGGCGUUGGAUGGCGUCGCCGUGCCUGGCUGCCGUUAUCGUUCCCAUUCCCUUCCUGGCUGUGGCCGAAGCUUCAUUAUACGCGCCAGGGAAAUGCUAAACUUUUGCAACCUUGCAAAAACAGCUGGACAGUGGGGCAAAGGAGGUGGAGCGGGACACGACGUAGGACUCGCAGGAUCUGAUUCGAUCUUGUCGGGCAGCCUCUUCUCAUCUGUAAUCUACCGAUUUACAACCCGCAAAAUAAUGCUGACUUCAUACAAUCCUGGAUGGGAGUGGGUGGAGUGGAGGGUGGACACGCAUAAAUCAGUUGAAAGCAUUUCGGUUCGCUGCUGCAAUUGUCCCUGACCACACACAGAAUGGGUUGGAUCGGAGCAGGCAACGGGGCAACGUGGACGAGCCACUGGACAGAGUUGAUAAAUUGCGCGCACAGUGGGAGAGUGCAGAAGAAAGUCGUCGUCAGCUCAAGGUAAGUGCAACAAAAGGUGGAGGGCAGAUCGCAAGUUACAUUUUACGUGCACUUAAAGUCUUUAAAGGGAUCGUUGGUAUGUGCCAUACAAGUAUAGUUAAUCUCCUUCUUUUUGCUGUCUCUACCUUGAAGUUGACACCCCCCAAACAGAGUUCACACCCACACUUAAUAUCUGUGCAUGUGUGAGUGCCAUCAUUAGCUUUUGGCGCACUCUGUCGAAGUGCUCUUUGCCCCCCGUUUUUUUCCAUUGUUGUUGUUGCCUUGGUUUGGUUGGCCCACCCAACGUGCGAUGGGCAAUUUAAUCAGUCUGGCAGCGCGCAGAAAAGCUGAUAAUACCGUUAUGAAUAAUUUACACACGCACACACGCCAUCCCACCCAUUCACCCACACAAUCAUACAUUAAGA